ACGUACACUCCUGCGGGAGGCAGCAGUGGGGAAUAUUGGACAAUGGGCGCAAGCCUGAUCCAGCCAUGCCGCGUGAGUGAUGAAGGCCCUAGGGUUGUAAAGCUCUUUCACCGGUGAAGAUAAUGACGGUAACCGGAGAAGAAGCCCCGGCUAACUUCGUGCCAGCAGCCGCGGUAAUACGAAGGGGGCUAGCGUUGUUCGGAUUUACAGGGCGUAAAGCGCACGUAGGCGGACUAUUAAGUCAGGGGUGAAAUCCCGGGGCUCAACCCCGGAACUGCCUUUGAUACUGGUAGUCUUGAGUUCGAGAGAGGUGAGUGGAAUUCCGAGUGUAGAGGUGAAAUUCGUAGAUAUUCGGAGGAACACCAGUGGCGAAGGCGGCUCACUGGCUCGAUACUGACGCUGAGGUGCGAAAGCGUGGGGAGCAAACAGGAUUAGAAACCCUUGUAGUCCCA
rnacentral:rRNA from 1 species